rnacentral:rRNA from 1 species
CAGCAGCCGCGGUAAUACGAGGGGGGCAAGCGUUGUUCGGAAUAACUGGGCGUAAAGGGCGCGUAGGCGGCCAUUCAAGUUAGAUGUGAAAGCCCUGGGCUCAACCUAGGAAUUGCAUUUGAUACUGUUUGGCUUGAGUUCGGGAGAGGUGAGUGGAAUUCCCAGUGUAGCGGUGAAAUGCGUAGAUAUCGGAAGGAACACCUGUGGCGAAAGCGGCUCACUGGACAAUAACUGACGCUGAUGCACGAAAGCUAGGGGAGCAAACAGGAUUAGAUACCCCCGUAGUCCCUGUCUCUUAUAC